AAAAGGAUGGCGAAUGAGCCAAAAACUGCGAACAAAGUCUGAUGGAGCCGCCGUGGCCAAAACCCUAAAACCCCUCCAAUGAGGCCCUUUCCGUUUUUCAUUUCACACAAUUCUUUAACCAUUGUGUUUACCGUCCUUUUCUGUGCAAGUUAGCCGAAGGAGAAAUCCCAACCGCGAAGGAGAACCGGCAGAGUCACCGCACCCAGAGACCCUUCCCACUAGUAAGUUUGAAUUUUUAAUUUUUCUACACAACCGAGACUUCCUAACGUGUUU
rnacentral:lncRNA from 1 species